AGUGUAGCGGUGAAAUGCGUAGAUAUUAGGAGGAACACCAGUGGCGAAGGCGGCCAACUGGGCUUUUACUGACGCUGAGGCUCGAAAGUGUGGGGAGCAAACAGGAUUAGAUACCCUGGUAGUCCACACCGUAAACGAUGAUUACUAGGUGUUGGAGGAUUGACCCCUUCAGUGCCGCAGUUAACACAAUAAGUAAUCCACCUGGGGAGUACGACCGCAAGGUUGAAACUCAAAGGAAUUGACGGGGGCCCGCACAAGCAGUGGAGUAUGUGGUUUAAUUCGAAGCAACGCGAAGAACCUUACCAGGGCUUGACAUAUACAGGAAUACUUAAGAGAUUAAGUAGCUCUUCGGAGUCUGUAUACAGGUGGUGCAUGGUUGUCGUCAGCUCGUGCCGUGAGGUGUUGGGUUAAGUCCCGCAACGAGCGCAACCCCUGUUCUUAGUUGCCAGCAUGUAAAGAUGGGAACUCUAAGAAGACUGCCGUAGAUAAUACGGAGGAAGGUGGGGAUGACGUCAAAUCAUCAUGCCCUUUAUGUCCUGGGCUACACACGUACUACAAUGGAUGUUACAGAGGGAAGCUAAAUAGUGAUAUGGAGCGAAACCCAAAAAGCAUCCCCAGUUCGGAUUGUAGGCUGAAACUCGCCUACAUGAAGCCGGAAUUGCUAAGAUCG
rnacentral:rRNA from 1 species